rnacentral:rRNA from 1 species
UGGGUUUGACAUGUUCCUGACCCCCCUGGAAACAGGGGUUCCCUUCGGGGCAGGAUCACAGGUGGUGCAUGGCUGUCGUCAGCUCGUGUCGUGAGAUGUUGGGUUAAGUCCCGCAACGAGCGCAACCCCCGUCGUAUGUUGCCAGCAUUUAGUUGGGGACUCAUACGAGACUGCCGGUGACAAACCGGAGGAAGGUGGGGAUGACGUCAAGUCAUCAUGCCCCUUAUGUCCAGGGCUACACACG